rnacentral:lncRNA from 1 species
CCGAUUGUAACAACCGGAUGUUUACACUUGUACAUGAUUGGAAAAAUAUUCUCCGACAAGUUUUAUAGAUCAAUCACGAAUUUGUGAGAGUCAACAUGUAUUAUGUAUAAGGCGGGUGGUGUCACGUCAAUGAGUAGGCUAUAAUCUGUAUUCGACAAGUACUUGAUUGCUGUCUUCUUGUCAACAAUUUUAUGUCAAGCUUAGAAAAGACAAACAAACAAUUCUGUCCAAGCUGAUUCUGUCUACACCUAUAUGAGACACGAACAUACCAUCAGAAGUCAGUGUAAACCGAUCUACAUCAACCAGGACGCUGUAACAAUUCGACUCUAGGAGCAUACAUAAAAGAACCGCAUUAAAUUGAGUGAUUUUGGAUUAAGAAAAGGGUAACAGACAAGGUUAGG